GACGAACGCUGGCGGCGUGCUUAACACAUGCAAGUCGAACGGAAAGGCCCUGCUUUUGUGGGGUGCUCGAGUGGCGAACGGGUGAGUAACACGUGAGUAACCUGUCCCUGACUUUGGGAUAACUUCAGGAAACUGGGGCUAAUACCGGAUAGGAGCUCCUGCUGCUUGGUGGGGGCUGGAAAGUUUCGGCGGUUGGGGAUGGACUCGCGGCUUAUCAGCUUGUUGGUGGGGUAGUGGCUUAGCAAGGCCUUGAGGGGUAGCCGGCCUGGGAGGGUAACCGGCCACAUUGGGACUGAGAUACGGCACAGACUCGUACGGGAGGCAACGGUGGAGAAUAGUGCACAAUGGGCGGAAGCCUGAUGCAGCAACGCAGCGUGCGGGAUGACGGCCUUCGGGUUGUAAACCGCUUUCGCCUGUGACGAAGCGUGAGUGACGGUAAUGGGUAAAGAAGCACCGGCUAACUACGUG
rnacentral:rRNA from 1 species